GAUGAACGCUGGCGGCGUGCAUAACACAUGCAAGUCGAACGAUGAAACUCAUUAGAUUUCUUCGUAAUGAAAAUGACUGAAUUAGUAGUGAACGGUUGAGUACCGCGUGAGUAACCUGCCUUACACAAUGGGAUAGCCACCGAAAACGGAGUAUAAUACCCUAUGAAACCAGACAAUUGCAUGAUAAUCUGUUCAAAAUGUUUAGUGGUGUAAGAUGGACUUUCGUCUGAUUAGCUAGUUGGUGAGAUAAAAGCUCACCAAGGCAACGAUCAGUAGCCGGCUUGAGAGAGUGUACGGCCACAUUGGGACUGAGACACGACCCAGACUCCUACGAGAGGCAGCAGUGGGGAAUUGUGCACAAUGGGGGGAACCCUGAUGCAGCGGCGCGGAGUGAUUUAGAAGGACUUCGGGUUGUAAAAGUCUUUUGUAUAGGCAGAAAGUGACAGUACUAUACGAAUAAGGGCCGGCUAAUUACGUG
rnacentral:rRNA from 1 species